UACGAAGGGGGCUAGCGUUGCUCGGAAUGACUGGGCGUAAAGGGCGCGUAGGCGGAUGGCACAGUCAGAUGUGAAAUUCCCGGGCUUAACCUGGGGGCUGCAUUUGAUACGUGUUGUCUAGAGUGAGGGAGAGGGUUGUGGAAUUCCCAGUGUAGAGGUGAAAUUCGUAGAUAUUGGGAAGAACACCGGUGGCGAAGGCGGCCAACUGGACCAUUUCUGACGCUGAGGCGCGAAAGCGUGGGGAGCAAACAGG
rnacentral:rRNA from 1 species